rnacentral:lncRNA from 1 species
CCCCAUUUGACCUUUUGACCCUUGGUCAGGACUGGUCAAUGCCGGACAAUUUAAAAUCCACAGGUUUUGACAACUCAUUGUGAAACCUUCGGUUUGAUGAACGUAAGUCCCUGGGAGCUUUUAACUUCCAUAAAGUACUGAGAAAAUACAUAUUUAACUUUCAAAAUAUCUUAAAAAACCUUAACAAAAGCUUUACACCCGGACCGAAAAACAAUUUACAAAAUAGUUUUAGCCUCCGGUUUAAAGCCGAUAUUGACUUUACAGUGUAAACAGAUAUUGGGUUUCCAUUAUAGUAUUUCGCAAUAUUGCAUCAGCCGGUUACGACUAGUUUUAUCAAUACACAUAACAUUCUUUACUGUUUUAAGUAUUAUAACGAAAAAAGUGGAAUUUAAGCAACUGAAAUGUAUUCAAGAAUUCUACAAAGAUAUUAUUAGCCAGACGAAUUACAACGUGAAAAAUCCAAGACUUUAUAAAGACAACGAACGUUUAACACAAAAUAUAUCAUCGGAAGACUUCAA